rnacentral:rRNA from 1 species
GGUACGGCGCGCUUGGCCCGCCAGGGUUACCUGGUUGUGUGCUGGUGCGCGCCUGCCAUCCUUCUGCAUUCCCAGUUCUAUCCUUUACUGGUGUGAACUGGUUUGCAGAUCUUUUACUUUGAAAAAAUUAGAGUGUUUAAAGCAGGCUUGCGCUAUGAAUACAUUAGCAUGGAAUAAUAAUUUAGGACUUUGGUUCUAUUUUGUUGGUUUCUAGGACUAAAGUA